rnacentral:rRNA from 1 species
UAAGGGCGCACGGUGGAUGCCUUGGCACUAGAAGCCGAUGAAGGACGUUACUAACGACGAUAUGCUUUGGGGAGCUGUAAGUAAGCUUUGAUCCAGAGAUUUCCGAAUGGGGAAACCCAGCAUGAGUUAUGUCAUGUUAUCGAUAUGUGAAUACAUAGCAUAUCAGAAGGCACACCCGGAGAACUGAAACAUCUUAGUACCCGGAGGAAGAGAAAGAAAAUUCGAUUCCCUUAG